CCUACGGGAGGCAGCAGUGGGGAAUAUUGGACAAUGGGCGCAAGCCUGAUGCAGCCAUGCCGCGUGAGUGAUGAAGGCCCUAGGGUUGUAAAGCUCUUUCACCGGAGAAGAUAAUGACGGUAUCCGGAGAAGAAGCCCCGGCUAACUUCGUGCCAGCAGCCGCGGUAAUA
rnacentral:rRNA from 1 species